CGGCAGAAGUCCAUUUCAUCGUUUUUUUAAUUUUAUUUUUUUCACAUCUCUAAUGGCAACAGAUAUAAUCCCAAAACCUUCUAAGUGGUUCUCUAACAAGAGUCUCAGGUUAAGCCUCCAUCGUUGCAGGUCAAAGUCUAGUUCAACCCUAAGCUCUCCUUCCUCUCCCAUGUCUCCAUGCACAGUACCACAAAAUAAUUACUCGAAAGAAAAUGAGCUUAAAGAGGUGUUUCGUCACUUCGAUAGCGAUGGAGAUGAGAAGAUCUCAGCCCUAGAGCUUAGGUCUUACUUUGGGUCAAUUGGGGAGUACAUGUCUUAUGAGGAGGCUCAAGCAGUGAUAGAAGAUCUUGACUCAGAUGGGGAUAAGUUAUUAGACUUCAAAGAUUUCUUGAGGCUCAUGAAAGGGGAAGCAAAUGAAGAAGAUGCUGAUCUUAAAAAGGCCUUUGAAAUGUUUGAAGUGGAGAAGGGAUCAGGUUGCAUAACCCCAAAGGGCUUGCAGAGAAUGCUUCAUCGCCUAGGAGAUGCAAAAUCCUACGAUGAAUGUGUGGCCAUGAUCCAUGUGUUUGAUACUGAUGGCAAUGGAGUUCUUGAUUUUCAAGAAUUUCAACAAAUGAUGGCUUAAUUCACAAUUGUACGCAUAUAUAUAUAUGUAUGUUACAGGAUAAAAAGGAAAGGAGGAGAGAAAGAGGCAAGAAUCCAACUUCUUUUUCUAUCUUUCAUUUUUUUUUUUUUA
rnacentral:misc_RNA from 1 species